AAUAAAAAACAUAAAAAUCUACUUUAGCAAGAAAGAGCCUAAAUUGUUCAUCGGAUAAACAUAAAUGCUUGCAACCGAUUUCUUCAAAAGGUUCCACCCAAUACAAUACCUUGUCUUACAUGUCUUAUAAGCCAUCAUGAAGUUUACUGACCUGACUCAGCGCUCGCUAAAAGAACUGGAGAAGAGAUCAACAGAAAGAAUGGCAAGAUUUGAAAGAAUACAGGGCGAAUUUGAAGAUUUACAGGACCAAAUUGAAGAUAAUUCAAACUUCAUGAACGUUCGACUAUAUAGGCUGAUCAGCGUGCAGGAGGAUCUUGCCACCAUUCAGAGGGCGGCAGAGGGGAUCAGAUUAAGAUUAAAUGGAUUAAGAGAGGAAGCAAACACACCUGUCAAGCCCCUGGAGAGAGACCUAUUCUAUCCAAAAAGCUGGCUUACUAUGUAGCCAUGGUAACGGGAUGGAUGCUAAUUAAACUAAUCGUAGCUGAAGCAAUGGAUCAAUGAUUGCGCGGUGGAUAUCAUUUCAAUACACUCGUGCGUAAAUUCAGUAAUUAUUCACUGCAUCAGCGAGGACCUGCUGAUCACCAUCACAAUUAUGGAUGGAUAUGAUGAGGAAACAACCAAAACCAUACAUCACACCCAGGAAACAAUAAGAUUAAUUUGCUCUUAUUUUUGGCAAAAGAGACAUUACAUUCAAUUUCAUUUCAUUCCUUUCAUCUCGUUUAUUUCCAUUCCAACAUAAACAAUUUGUUUCGUACAUUUUCAUAUACAAUCUAAAGCAGAUACGAACCAAUAGUCCUCAACUAUUCAUACCUGGCCAGUUUCCUGAGCCAUAAUGCAGUGUGGUCUCGUAAUAUAGACCCACUUGAAUGAUAACAUGCUAAUUAACUACCCAAUACAUUUAUACCGCAAUAUAU